rnacentral:rRNA from 1 species
AGUACGGCGAGUGAACAGGCAAGAGCUCAGAUUUGAAAGCCUCUCGGGGCAUUGUAUUCUGAAGCCUUGAUUCUGAGAAACGGUACCUAAGUCUUCUGGAAAGGAGCGCCAAGGAGGGUGAUAGCCCCGUACGGUACUGACCUCAUUGUAGAAUCUUGGCGUGGAGUCGAGUUGUUUGGGAAUGCAGCUCAAAUGGGUGGUAUGCUCCAUCUAAAGCUAAAUAUCUGCGAGAGACCGAUAGCGAACAAGUACUGUGAAGGAAAGAUGAAAAGAACUUUGAAAAGAGAGUGAAAAAGUACGUGAAAUUGUUGAAAUGGAAGGAUAGGCCGCUAACCACGUAGAGCCGUGUCUGAGGGGAGGAUAAAAGCUGUAGAAUGUGACUCUUCGGAGUGUUAUAGCUGCAGUGCAUACUCCCACUCGGGCGCGAGGACCUAAGGCUCUGCUAAAUGGUGGUCUAUCACCCGUCUUGA